rnacentral:rRNA from 1 species
UAAAAUAAUUAAGGGCACACAAAGGAUGCCUAGGUAGUAAGAGCCGAUGAAGGACGUGGUAAGCUGCGAUAAGCCUAGAUAAGUUGCAAUCGAACGUAAGAGUCUAGGAUUUCCGAAUGGAGCAAUCUAUUAAGAUGGAGUCUUAAUACGAAAGAGGGAACCGCGUGAACUGAAACAUCUAAGUAACGCGAGGAAAAGAAAGUAAAAACGAUACCCAAAGUAGCGGCGAGCGAAAUGGGUCAAGCCUAAACCUUAAAUAUGUCAAGGAUACAGCCGUUGUAUUUAGGGGGUUGAGGGACAGAGUAGUGAAGAACUGUAAGAUAUUCAAUAUAGUGUAUUGAUGAAUUGGAAUUGUCUGGAAAGGCGAACCGUAGAAGGUGAAAGUCCUGUACAAGUAAAUCCUUACACAUAUAACUCUGCUCCCAAGUAACAUGGAACACGAGGAAUUCUGUGUGAAUCUGUGAGGACCAUAUCUCAUAAGGCUAAAUACUCUUACUAACCGAUAGCGCAUAGUACCGUGAGGGAAAGGUGAAAAGAACCCCUGGAGGGGAGUGAAAUAGAACCUGAAAUUGUGUGCUUACAAGCGGUCAGAGCCAGCAAUGGUGAUGGCGUGCCUUUUGGAGAAUGAUCCUGCGAGUUACGUUAAACGGCGAGGUUAAGUAUAACGGAGCCGAAGGGAAACCAAGUCUUAAUAGGGCGAUUUAGUCGUUUGGCGUAGACGCGAAACCUGGUGAUCUAAACCUGUCCAGGAUGAAGCUGUGGUAAGACACAGUGGAGGUCCUAACCCACCGCCGUUGAAAAGUUGGGGGAUGAGGUAGGUUUAGGGGUGAAAAGCCAAUCGAACCAGGAGAUAGCUCGUUCUCUCCGAAAUGCAUCUAGGUGCAGCCUUGAGUGUUCAAUUAUGGGGGUAGAGCACUGAAUGAUCUAGGGGGCAUAUUGCUUACUGAAAUCAAUCAAACUCCGAAUACCAUAAUUUAUAGCUCAGGAGUGAGACUAUGGGAGUUAACUUCCAUUGUCAAAAGGGAAACAACCCAGACCACCAGCUAAGGUCCCUAAUUAUAACUAAGUGGGAAAGGAGGUGGAGAUUCACAAACAACUAGGAGGUUGGCUUAGAAGCAGCCAUACCUUUAAAGAGUGCGUAAUAGCUCACUAGUCGAGAGUCUCUGCGCCGACAAUGUAACGGGGCUAAGUUAUAAACCGAAGCUGUGGAAUCCNNNNNNNNNNNNNNNNNNNNNNNNNNNNNNNNNNNNNNNNNNNNNNNAAAGGGAAACAACCCAGACCACCAGCUAAGGUCCCUAAUUAUAACUAAGUGGGAAAGGAGGUGGAGAUUCACAAACAACUAGGAGGUUGGCUUAGAAGCAGCCAUACCUUUAAAGAGUGCGUAAUAGCUCACUAGUCGAGAGUCUCUGCGCCGACAAUGUAACGGGGCUAAGUUAUAAACCGAAGCUGUGGAAUCCGUAAGGAUUGGUAGGAGAGCGUUCUGUAGGCCGUUGAAGGAGAAGGGUAACCGACUUUGGAGGUAUCAGAAGUGAGAAUGCAGGAAUAAGUAGCGAGAAAGGGGGCGAGAAUCCCCCUCGCCGGAAGACCAAGGUUUUCAGGGUAAAGCUUGUCUUCCCUGAGUAAGCCGGGACCUAAGCCCAGGCUAUAAUGCGUAGGCGAAUGGAAAACAGAUUAAUAUUUCUGUGCCAGUCAUAUAUUGUGAUGGAGGGACGCAGAAGGGUAUGCGCGCGGACGAACGGAAGUGUCCGUAGAAGUAUGUAGGAUGACUUGAUAGGUAAAUCCAUUGAGUUAUAUCUGAGGUAUGAUAUACAGUCGUAAGAUGAAUGCGCAAAUCCCACGCUGCCAAGAAAAGCUUCUAACGUUAAUAUUUGACUGCCCGUACUGUAAACCGACACAGGUGGUCAGGAUGAGAAAUCUAAGGCGGACAGGCUAACUCUCGUUAAGGAACUCUGCAAAAUAACCUCGUAACUUCGGGAGAAGAGGAGCCCUUGGGUGUUAGUAUCCAUGCGUUACAAAGCACUCGAGGGUCGCAGUGAAGAGGCUCAAGCAACUGUUUAACAAAAACACAGGUCUAUGCUAAGCUGGAAGGCGAUGUAUAUGGGCUGACACCUGCCCAGUGCUGGAAGGUUAAGAGGAGGAGUGAGAGCUCCGAAUUGAAGCCCCAGUGAACGGCGGCCGUAACUAUAACGGUCCUAAGGUAGCGAAAUUCCUUGUCGGGUAAGUUCCGACCUGCACGAAUGGUGUAAUGAUUUGAGCGCUGUCUUGACGGGAGGCCUGGUGAAAUUGUAUUACCGGUGAAGAUACCGGUUACCUACAGUAGGACGGAAAGACCCCAUGGAGCUUUACUGUAGCUUGGUAUUGGGUUUUGGCAUUGCAUGUAUAGGAUAGUUGGGAGACUGUGAUGAUAUGGCGCUAGCUGUAUCGGAGUCAUCGGUGGAAUACCAACCAUUCAAUGCUGAAAUUCUAAUCUGUGGUUUGUAGCCACGGAGACAGUGCUAGGUGGGCAGUUUGACUGGGGCGGUCGCCUCCGAAAGAGUAACGGAGGCGUUCAAAGGUUCUCUCAGGUUGGAUGGAAAUCAACCAUAGAGUGCAAUGGCAUAAGAGAGCUUGACUGCAAGACUGACGGGUCGAGCAGAUGCGAAAGCAGGACAUAGUGAUCCGGCGAUUCCGAAUGGAAGGGUCGUCGCUCAACGGAUAAAAGCUACCCUGGGGAUAACAGGCUGAUCCUACCCGAGAGUCCAUAUCGACGGUAGGGUUUGGCACCUCGAUGUCGGCUCAUCGCAUCCUGGGGCUGGAGAAGGUCCCAAGGGUUGGGCUGUUCGCCCAUUAAAGCGGUACGUGAGCUGGGUUCAGAACGUCGUGAGACAGUUCGGUCCCUAUCCACUGUAGGCGUUAGAAUAUUGAGAAGACCUGUCCUUAGUACGAGAGGACCGGGAUGGACAAACCUCUGAUGUACCAGUUGUCACGCCAGUGGCACAGCUGGGUAGUCACGUUUGGAAUAGAUAACCGCUGAAAGCAUCUAAGCGGGAAACUAACUUCAAGAUAAGUAUUCUUUAAGAUACCUUCGAGCCUAGGAGGUUGAUAGGUUGGGGGUGUAAGUGCAGCAAUGCAUUUAGCUGACCAAUACUAAUUAUCGAAGUUUUAAUCUA